GGGCGGUUAGCUCAGCGGAAGAGCAUCGGCCUUACAAGCCGGGGGUCACAGGUUCAAAUCCUGUACCGCCCACCA
rnacentral:tRNA from 1 species